UGGCUUAGGACGAACGCUGGCGGCGUGCCUAACACAUGCAAGUCGAACGAGAAUCUACUAUGAAAUUUCGGAUGGAUUAGGUAGAGGAAAGUGGCGAACGGGUGAGUAACGCGUGAGCAAUCUGCCUUGUACUGGGGGAUAACGUCGGGAAACCGGCGCUAAUACCGCAUAAUACUAUGAGAUCGCAUGGUCAUAUAGUCAAAACUCCGGUGGUACAAGAUGAGCUCGCGUCCAAUUAGCUAGUUGGUGGGGUAAUGGCCCACCAAGGCGACGAUUGGUAGCCGAACUGAGAGGUUGAUCGGCCACAUUGGGACUGAGACACGGCCCAGACUCCUACGGGAGGCAGCAGUGGGGAAUAUUGCGCAAUGGAGGGGAAACCUCUGACGCAGCAACGCCGCGUGAAGGAUGAAGGUUUUCGGAUUGUAAACUUCUUUGAUCGGGGACGAAAUUGACGGUACCCGAGGAACAAGCCACGGCUAACUACGUGCCAGCAGCAGC
rnacentral:rRNA from 1 species